CGGAAAUGAGCCGAAAAAGGCAUUUUAAGGGAUGUGACCUCCCUUGAGACUACGUGCCUGAAAACCGUGCUCCCUUAGAGUGGUGUAGAAAUGCUCAGCGUCCUCCAUUUCUCUCCCUCGCAAAAUGCGGAUGAAAGAAGGAGACAGAACCUCAAUUCUACAUCCUUUUUAAGAGGGAGUUUAGAAGAUACAGGCCUCCCUUUAGCGUAAACGGAGUUCUGUUUCUUAUUUUAUGCGUUAUUUUCUUUUCUUUUACACAUCUGUGAGAAGGAAACUAGAAAGGAGAGAUAUAUUGUCCAAGUGGUUCUUCUUCUUUUUUUUUCUUUCUGCAAAUUUAUACAUUUCCGGAGUGCAAGCCAACUUAUUUAGGGCGAUAUAAUAGACGCUUUGUUCGUCUCGUCGACCACAAUGUCCUGUCGCGCUGCCAGAACCCCCGGUCGGCAUCUGACGAGCUGUCUUCGGAAGCGAGACCAUGCAAAACUUCGACGGCUUAGGCCGCAGAAUGUCCUCGCUUCUGUUCGUCUUCCCAUCAACUAAAAGUGAAACUGAAGGCAAAGCUCGCAAAGCGCCACUGUCGUCGGCGCCGGUGACGGCACCUGUUUUGCUCAUCGUAGUUCUGCGUGUGUGUCUAUAUGCGUGCUUACGAGGUAAUUUUGGCGGCCGUCGGAGAGUGUUUCGUGUAGUGUGGAACCUCACAAGAAAGCUACCUGCCCCACUGCGCAGCACGGCGGUGAUCGGCCACUGCGUAGUCAUCGCUUUGACGUGAUCUGUGUACUACAAUACACUUUCGUGGUUCGCGCGGCCGUGCUCGGGUAUUCCCUCCUGCGCCACGAUAUGACAGCGGCUAGAUAAACCUCACCCACAGUCCUCACAAAAUCGGACCGCGUACGGUGUCGACUGCUUUUGGAAACGGCGCGUUUCGGAUUACCGCUUGCCCAGUUGCCUCAUGUUUGACGCGGCCUUUUCAAGCUGCCGUGACUGUUCCUGUCAUACCAAAGCCAAGGCUCACUGGCCCCUCAUGGUAUUGAAGCUUGCUCACCAAUUACUCAGAGUGGAUGAUACAUUUUCUGGAUUUUGUCAGGUGCCAUCUGUCUUGCCCUAAUCAUGGUAUGAAAGGUCACAGCAAAUUUAAUAACAAGCUGCUCAAGAAUGUGUCCCAGCUAGUGUCGCAACAUACCCCCUGGGUUCAUUCUUAAGACUGGUGAGUGGCUAAAGUCAUCCCAUUCUACAAAUCCAGCGAGUGUUUAUCACCCUUUAACUACCAAUGAAUAUUAUUAACCAGUACAAUUCGCAAACUUAUGGAACACAUUAUUAAUUCACAAGUCAUCGACUAUUUCGAAGAUCCCAGUUUAACAUUCAACUACCAGCACAGGUUUUCAUUUACAUUACGACUUAGCAUGAAACCACCACAUUUACUCCAUCUUUGCAGCAGCUCACCACUCUCUUGGCAUCAUCAAAUUAAACCUAAAGCAUGCUUUUGUCAACAUACAUAAACUUGCUUACACUACACUAAUCCACACAAAGCUCGAAUACGCAUCGCUAAUAUAGCACUCUGGCAGGUAAACAUUGUUGACGAGAUUGCAUUUGUUCAAAACUGGGCUGCUCACCUUCAUAUUUUCCGACUAUUCAUCUUACACUUCCGUGUCAUCAUUAAAAGCACGUACUGAUUUAAAAGCACUAUCCCUUCGCCACAAAUCAGUGCGUCUUUGCCUGCUUGACAAACUUUAUAAUCGUACUUCUCUUCACAAUGAUUUCUUUCAGUCACCACCUGUCGUAUUUUCAUGCCGGGAUCACCACCUCAUAUUUAAGCGUACACCAUCUCGCAUGUUACAAUAUGCAUGCUCCUUUAUACCCUGCACCAUCACUGAAGGGAACUGCUUUCCCUCUGAUAUUGCCACAGAAUCUGACAUUAAAAUUUUACGACGUGCUACGCACUGUUAA